GUACAGCUAACGAGUCCCAAAUAGGACGAAAUGCACAUCUUGAAU
rnacentral:hammerhead_ribozyme from 1 species